UACGUAGGUGGCAAGCGUUGUCCGGAUUUACUGGGCGUAAAGAGCGCGCAGGCGGUCGUUCAAGUCGGGUGUGAAAGCCCCCGGCUCAACUGGGGAGGGUCACGCGAUACUGAUCGACUCGAAGGCAGGAGAGGGAAGUGGAAUUCCCGGUGUAGUGGUGAAAUGCGUAGAUAUCGGGAGGAACACCAGUGGCGAAGGCGGCUUCCUGGCCUGUUCUUGACGCUGAGGCGCGAAAGCUAGGGGAGCAAACGGG
rnacentral:rRNA from 1 species